CAGAGUCGCUGGCUGAGCACCACGUCCAGCAAGGCUAGGCCUGGACCCACGGGGCUGCAGCCUCGAGAGGGGCCGGCCUCCCAGACGGCCACCAACAGGUCAGGUGCCCACUGCCUGGCCCUUGCUCCCAGUAGGUGCUGAGAAUGGUGGGGUGCCAGCCACUUCUGUCUGCAGCUCUGGAGGACGCCCUUCCUGCUCCCAGAAGCCACUCCACUAGAGCCACAGGGACACUGAGCCGACCCCAGCCAGGGUGCCCUCCAGAUGGCUUGGGCUGCGGAAAACGAGAAGGUGGUUCUGUCUGCUCAGUGGACGCAGCCCCCCGGCCUCUCUGUGAACCAGUCUCUACGGCAUUCCCCACGUUCAGUUUCUGCUCAAAACCGUUUGUGACAAUGUGCUGCUUCCCAGAGGCCACCCACGCACACCGGCGCCCUGUCGAGGGCUGCCUUGUCAUGCCCCUCCCUCCCCCAGGGCUCCCUAGGCAGCCAGGCCCGCACCCCGCUUUCCUCCCAGCGCCUGUGCUAGUUCCCUGCAGAGUCACAUCUGGGGCUGGGGAACCAGGCUGGGGCAACUGAAAGCCACGGACAGGACAGAACCACUCACAGUCCCUCCCUCACACCCAGAGAUACAGGGCAUGGGCAGGCCCCCGGGCCCUG